GUCACGAAAAAAAACAACCGCAUCAAAACAAAGGGGAUUUUUGAAACAUUUGGAACCGUUUUUCCUAGAAAGAAGGAACAGUCGGAGAUGGAGUACGAUGAUUAUGAAGAGACGGAAUACCUCCGGGAUCUGGUUGACAUUGAUUAUGAUCCGUUUGCAGACGAACGCGUCGAUGCCGAAUCGACUGAGGACGACUCCGUCGAAGACGGAAACGGAAGGAAGGAUGAUCAAGGAGAGGAAGUUCAAGUAGAAGGGGAACCGUCGCAAAGUCGAUCCCAUGUUCUGGAAAUCACCAGACCAGGCGGCGAGGACCUUUUCUCGCCAACACGAAGAAUGCGCGCUGGACUAAGCAGGUCGCCGACAUCAAAAUCGAUUUGUCUGCAGCUUUGAAUUUGCUGCAAGGGGCGUUUAAGAAGAUCGAGUUGCUGGCGGCAGAGACAAAGGCAAGCACGGAGAUUACGGCCGCGAUGGAAACAGCAGUUCAGCCAGAAGAGAACGAGUUGAGCCAGCAGCUGGCAUCCCAAGUUACGGACAAACAGGAUUCUGACCACGAAUGAAUGCUUCAUUGUGAUUUUAUCACUUUCAUACUCGAAAUAAACUUUUUUUUCGUCGUA